GAUGAACGCUGGCGGCGUGCCUAAUACAUGCAAGUCGAGCGAACAGACGAGGAGCUUGCUCCUUUGACGUUAGCGGCGGACGGGUGAGUAACACGUAGGUAACCUACCUAUAAGACUGGGAUAACUUCGGGAAACCGGAGCUAAUACCGGAUAAUAUUUCGAACCGCAUGGUUCGAUAGUGAAAGAUGGCUUUGCUAUCACUUAUAGAUGGACCUGCGCCGUAUUAGCUAGUUGGUAAGGUAACGGCUUACCAAGGCAACGAUACGUAGCCGACCUGAGAGGGUGAUCGGCCACACUGGAACUGAGACACGGUCCAGACUCCUACGGGAGGCAGCAGUAGGGAAUCUGCCGCAAUGGGCGAAAACCUGACGGAGCAACGCCGCGUGAGUGAUGAAGGUCUUCGGAUCGUAAAACUCUGUUAUUAGGGAAAAACAAACGUGUAAGUAACUGUGCACGUCUUGACGGUACCUAAUCAGAAAGCCACGGCUAACUACGUG
rnacentral:rRNA from 1 species